GACAGAGGUGCCGAGCGUUAGGCGGAAUCACUGGGCUUAAAGCGUGUGUAGGCGGGCGGGCAAGUACCUUGUGAAAUCCCACGGCUUACCCGUGGAACGGCUGGGUAUACUGGUUGUCUUGAGCCACUUAGGGGCUACCGGAACAAAUGGUGGAGCGGUGAAAUGCGUAGAUAUCAUUUGGAACGCCAAUGGUGAAAACAGGUAGCUGGGAGUGUGCUGACGCUGAGACACGAAAGCCAGGGGAGCGAACGGG
rnacentral:rRNA from 1 species